rnacentral:lncRNA from 1 species
GAAAAAUCUUUUUAAUGCAAAUAUUUUUAAUUUUUAUUAAACACAAAAAAACAAUAAAAUAAUACAGUAAAACCUCGUUAAUUUGAUAUUGGUUAAUUCAUAUGAUAAAACCAGGCAAGGACUAAGAAAUUCAUAGACUCCAUCACAAAUCACAACCUAGGUCUGAGAUUAAACUUAGAAUAACAAAGCAGCACAAUCAUAUUUCUUUCUAGAUGUGCAACUAAUAAUAAAGAAAGGAAAAUGCAUAACUUCUGUGUUUAGAAAACUGAUCUCAUCCAUGAACCAAUUUUCAUCCUCUCUUGGUCAAAUGAUCCCUACAUCUAUAAGUGUGCAGCAUUCCACAACUUCAUCAGACGAAUUUUUACACACUGUAUAGAAGAAGAUGGGCGAGAGAGAGAAAGAAUACAAAAAAUUUAUAGGCUAAGGAAGAAAACAUAGGUAUUUUGCAAAUUUUAUGAAGUGCAUAUACAGAAUAGUAAAGAACAUAUUUGAGAGAACAAGUAAUGGUAAGAAUAAUAAUGAAAUAGAAGAAGACAUGAGUAUUAAACAAACAAAAGUAGAAUAUGCAGUCAUACUCACAACAAUAGCCAAUAUGAAGACAAGGAGCAAAACAAAAAGAUGGCAUAUAAAAGAGGACCUAGAAUAUUUGGAAGAUUAAGAAAUGACAAAGACAAAUAUAACCAAGUUCUAAAAAGUGGAGUCUACCAGGUCCCACUAAUAAACAACUAUAACAAUAUAGAAUAAUUCUAUAUAAGAAUGAC